rnacentral:lncRNA from 1 species
GCGGCAACUGGAACUCGGAAGCCAGCAACAUCCUGGAAGAAACCGACAGCCUGAAUCUCAAAGAAGCCAGGUAAAUUGGACACAAAGAAACACGUGGUAAUAGCACUUCCUCGCAAAAAAUUGAAAAGGGAAAGGAAUAUGAUGAAGGAACCAGACAUUCAUGCCUUGUUGUUAGUGGAUGUUCAAGUUUUCCUCCAGUCUGUUGGGCUAGAGGAAAGGGAUUAUUUACUGAACUACAGGUCUAAAGAAAUUGAGAAUCUGCCUAAAAGAUUACUGCACCACACCAAGUGAUGUGGAACAACAUCCAUAGUGCAUGGGUUGCAGAAGAGGUAGGCCUAAUCAGGAUUGGGAGCGUCAUAACAAAGCUUUGUUUGUAUCGGAAACAAUACACUGGAUGCAUACCUCAUUAGUGGAGCUGUACAAGUGGGGUGAUGACAGAGGCAUUGAAAAAUUCCUGCAUUAUUUUUAGAUCGAUCAGUACUGUCAUGGGAUCGAAAAAUUUUACUUCAAUAUCCGAAAGUCGUAGGAAAAGAAUGGUAAAAUAAUUAACGUUUCACCAUAGGAAAAUCCACAUCCAUCCACGCCGCUGGAUAAGACAUCCAUUGUGCCUUUACGUGCUACGUAUCGUGUUUUUGUCUGUGGAAAGCGACAUCUUCCUACCACAAUCUAGUGGGAAUUGCUGAUCUCACCAAUUUAUGAAGUCGUCAAUUGGACAAAGUCAUCAUUCUUUUUUACCUAAUUUUUAUUCUUAAAACCACGCUUCACAUCGUAAUGUGGACACGGAAUAAUACCUCCUCCCGCACAGUAGUUUUUUUCCAAUUAAAACGGUCAUUUGAUUUUAACCAAUUCAUCAGCUACAUUUUUUUGGGGCAACAAUACUUUUUUGUGCCCAUGGCACAACAUUUGCCGUCUCCACAACGGUCGGAUGUAACGGUUUUGUAAACCUUCGAAUUGCAGUAUCCUUGGCAGAAAGGUGCCGAUCCAUUCCAAAAGCACCCGGGCUGUCGUUCCUUAGCAUCAACUUCCGUUCGAAUUGUUUUACCAGCCGAGAUUUUAGGAUUUUUCACCUUUCAAAAUUUUGAAGUGCAACAUGUAAAGUAACAAAGAAUGUUGAAACGCAACGGUUAUUUUGAGUUUAAAUAUUUUAAAGAAAUGUAUCAAGUUUCUUACGUAGUUGUCUUCCAAUUGCAGAUCCAGCUGCUCGUCCGCGUUAAGGGCUAAUGCACUCGGUCAUGUGAAACAUAGAGCCAAGAUGACCAAUAUACCUAAAUGGAUUCCGUAAAAAUGAGCCAUGUUUUUAAUUAAACCUACUGCGUUUCUUUCUCGAAUGCAGAACGUACUGUGUCCUGCCGUUAACGAUUUACCCCGUUUUUAUAGGCGGAUGGAAGCCAUACAUUUGAUAGCUGUAGCCUAACCAUACCGGUACUACGCAUUAUUCUUGUUAAAUCGAGCCACCAUUUAAUAUUUCAACACGUGUCCUACACGUGAAGCAAAUAGAUGGUUACUUUUUAGAUUUUUUUAUUAUUAUUCCUUUUUGCUUUUGGAAUUUGCGAUGUGGGUGUGCUGCCAAAAGCAUACAGGAUUCCGCUUAUAUGACUAUUUGAAUUAGGAAAUAUGUGGCAGCAGUUGCAAUGCGCAAAUCUUUGCUUUGGAAUAUACUACAUGAACUCAUUGCCGUCAACUCGUGUCGGAACUCACCUAUGCAGCACUUAGCACUCACAUUUGCAGCGAACAACAUGUAUUUACAUUUCAUCGGAAAUGAACCUUCUGUCAUUUGCUUGUAUAGCUGCUCGCUACAUGCUUUCCAUAGCACUUACUGAUUUACACGUCUGCUUUCCUUUUA